AGCGAACGCUGGCGGCAGGCCUAAAACAUGCAAGUCGAACGCCUGUAGCAAUACAGGAGUGGCAGACGGGUGAGUAACACGUGGGAACGUACCCUUUGGUUCGGAACAACACAGGGAAACUUGUGCUAAUACCGGAUAAGCCCUUACGGGGAAAGAUUUAUCGCCAGAGGAUCGGCCCGCGUCUGAUUAGCUUGUUGUGAGGUAACGGCUCACCAAGGCUACGAUCAGUAGCNGGUCUGAGAGGAUGAUCAGCCACACUGGGACUGAGACACGGCCCAGACUCCUACGGGAGGCAGCAGUUAGGAAUCUUGGACAAUGGGCGCAAGCCUGAUCCAGCCAUGCCGCGUGAGUGAUGAAGGCCUUAGGGUGUAAAGCUCUUUCAGCGGGGAAGAUAAUGACGGUACCCGCAGAAGAAGCCCCGGCUAACUUCGUGCCAGCAGCCGCUGUAAC
rnacentral:rRNA from 1 species